CAGCAGCCGCGGGAAUACGGAGGGUGCAAGCGUUAAUCGGAAUUACUGGGCGUAAAGCGUGCGUAGGCGGUUCGUUAAGUCUGUUGUGAAAGCCCCGGGCUCAACCUGGGAAUGGCAAUGGAUACUGGCGAGCUAGAGUGUGUCAGAGGAUGGUGGAAUUCCCGGUGUAGCGGUGAAAUGCGUAGAGAUCGGGAGGAACAUCAGUGGCGAAGGCGGCCAUCUGGGACAACACUGACGCUGAGGCACGAAAGCGUAGGGAGCAAACAGGAUUAGAUACCCCUGUAGUCCCUGUCUCUUAUAC
rnacentral:rRNA from 1 species